GACGAACGCUGGCGGCGUGCUUAACACAUGCAAGUCGAACGGAAAGGCCCCUUUGGGGGUACUCGAGUGGCGAACGGGUGAGUAACACGUGAGUAACCUGCCCUUGACUUCAGGAUAACUUCAGGAAACUGGGGCUAAUACCGGAUAGGAAUCCUUGCUGCAUGGUGGGGGUUGGAAAGCUUCGGCGGUUUUGGAUGGACUCGCGGCUUAUCAGCUUGUUGGUGGGGUAGUGGCUUACCAAGGCUUUGACGGGUAGCCGGCCUGAGAGGGCGACCGGCCACAUUGGGACUGAGAUACGGCCCAGACUCCUACGGGAGGCAGCGGUGGGGAAUAUUGCACAAUGGGCGGAAGCCUGAUGCAGCAACGCCGCGUGCGGGAUGACGGCCUUCGGGUUGUAAACCGCUUUCAGCAGGGGCGAAGCUUGUGGUGACGGUACCUGCAGAAGAAGCACCGGCUAACUACGUG
rnacentral:rRNA from 1 species